rnacentral:rRNA from 1 species
CCUACGGGUGGCAGCAGUGGGGGAUAUUGGACAAUGGGGGGGAACCCUGAUCCAGCGACGCCGCGUGAGUGAAGAAGUAUUUCGGUAUGUAAAGCUCUGUCAGCAGGGAAGAAAGCAAUGACGGUACCUGACCAAGAAGCCCCGGCUAACUACGUGCCAGCAGCCGCGGUAAUACGUAGGGGGCAAGCGUUAUCCGGAUUCAUUGGGCUUAUAGGGAGCGUAGGCGGGCGUUCAAGUCAGCUGUAAAAUCGCGCGGCUCAACCGCGCCCCGCAGUUGAAACUGGACGCCUUGAGUUCACAACAGGCAGGCGGAAUUCGUGGUGUAGCGGUGAAAUGCAUAGAUAUCACGAGGAACCCCGAUUGCGAAGGCAGCCUGCCGGGGUGCGACUGACGCUGAGGCUCGAAGGUGCGGGUAUCAAACAGGAUUAGAUACCCCAGUAGUC